GCAAGCCAACCACNGAAAAGCCAUCUCAGUUCGGAUUGUAGUCUGCAACCCGACUACAUGAAGCUGGAAUCGCUAGUAAUCGCAGAUCAGAAUGCUGCGGUGAAUACGUUCCCGGGUCUUGUACACACCGCCCGUCACACCAUGGGAGUUGGAAAUGCCCGAAGCCAGUGACCCAACCGUAAGGAGGGAGCUGUCGAAGGUGGAGCCGAUGACUGGGGUGAAGUCGUAACAAGGUAUC
rnacentral:rRNA from 1 species